rnacentral:rRNA from 1 species
AGGCCCAAGUGAGAUUAGCUAGUUGGUGAGGUAAAGGCUCACCAAGGCGACGAUCUCUAGCUGUUCUGAGAGGAAGAUCAGCCACACUGGGACUGAGACACGGCCCAGACUCCUACGGGAGGCAGCAGUGGGGAAUAUUGCACAAUGGGGGAAACCCUGAUGCAGCCAUGCCGCGUGUGUGAAGAAGGCCUUCGGGUUGUAAAGCACUUUCAGUUGUGAGGAAAGGUUGGUAGUUAAUACCUGCCAGCUGUGACGUUAACAACAGAAGAAGCACCGGCUAACUCCGUGCCAGCAGCCGCGGUAAUACGGAGGGUGCGAGCGUUAAUCGGAAUUACUGGGCGUAAAGCGCACGCAGGCGGUUUGUUAAGCUAGAUGUGAAAGCCCCGGGCUCAACCUGGGAUGGUCAUUUAGAACUGGCAGACUAGAGUCUUGGAGAGGGGAGUGGAAUUCCAGGUGUAGCGGUGAAAUGCGUAGAGAUCUGGAGGAACAUCAGUGGCGAAGGCGACUCCCUGGCCAAAGACUGACGCUCAUGUGCGAAAGUGUGGGUAGCGAACAGGAUUAGAUACCCUGGUAGUCCACACCGUAAACGCUGUCUACUAGCUGUGUGUGAAUUUAAUUCGUGCGUAGCGAAGCUAACGCGCUAAGUAGACCGCCUGGGGAGUACGGCCGCAAGGUUAAAACUCAAAUGAAUUGACGGGGGCCCGCACAAGCGGUGGAGCAUGUGGUUUAAUUCGAUGCAACGCGAAGAACCUUACCUACACUUGACAUGCAGAGAACUUUCUAGAGAUAGAUUGGUGCCUUCGGGAACUCUGACACAGGUGCUGCAUGGCUGUCGUCAGCUCGUGUCGUGAGAUGUUGGGUUAAGUCCCGCAACGAGCGCAACCCUUGUCCUUAGUUGCCAGCAUUUAGUUGGGCACUCUAAGGAGACUGCCGGUGAC